rnacentral:rRNA from 1 species
UCGGGAAUUUUGGGCAAUGGGCGAAAGCCUGACCCAGCAACGCCGCGUGAAGGAUGAAGUAUUUCGGUAUGUAAACUUCGAAAGAAUAGGAAGAAUAAAUGACGGUACUAUUUAUAAGCCCCGGCUAACUACGUGCCAGCAGCCGCGGUAAUACGUAGGGGGCAAGCGUUGUCCGGAUUUAUUGGGCGUAAAGAGCGUGUAGGCGGCCAGGUAGGUCGGUUGUGAAAACUGGAGGCUCAACCUUCAGACGUCGACCGAAACCAUCUGGCUAGAGUCCGGAAGAGGAGAAUGGAAUUCCUGGUGUAGCGGUGAAAUGCGCAGAUAUCAGGAAGAACACCCGUGGCGAAAGCGGUUCUCUGGGACGGUACUGACGCUGAGACGCGAAAGCGUGGGGAGCGAACAGGAUUAGAUACCCCAGUAGUCCCUGAGCGGGCUGGCAAGGCGCAU